GUGCCUUAGACCGCUGCGCCACUCGGGAGGCUGCUGCGCUGUGAAGUUGAAGGAUAAGGAGGUUACAGAGGGAGUGCAUCUCAGGGAGGGCACACAAGAAGACAGUACUGAGGAUUGGGACACAUCCUUCUCAUCAACAUAGUGACUUCACUCUUCUAGAAAAAUUGAUUUCUGCAAACAGUGGCAAUUCCCAGGCAUAAGGUCUUUCAGCGAUGGUGUUAUUUCUAGGAAUGUGGUGCCCCCUUGUGGUGCGAUGUCAGAGCUGGAGCUGCUGCUGCUGGUUCUGUGGAUUCUUCUUUACUGUCUCUUCAUCCUCACCAUCUGAACUUCUGUUCUACAGACACCUCAGACUCAAUUAAAUCAUGGUUACACUGAAUAUAAGUUUGACAAAGUUCCCAGUUUAAGGUACAUGCCUAUGAACUCAACAAAUUGAGAGAGCUGUCCAGUUUAGGACCUCAUUUAGGGAUGCAGGAUGUCUGAGAUGUCUUUCUCUAAUCUAGACCUCUUAAUAAAAUGAGUUCAACAAAGCAACCUCAGUCCAACUGAACUAAGUUAAUUACACUAGUGCUUUCUUAGCCACAAGAUGGCAACAUAAGGCCAGGUAAGCAGUCUCUCAGAUUGGUUCCAGUGCUGUAACCCUGGUAACAAACUGACUGCCAGGUAGUUAAUUAGCAUGGGUAUCAUUGAGUUCAAGCAAGCAGUGAUUAAUAAGCACAUUGACAUUUCAGCAGACGUACUAGUAUUAACAAGCUUCGUCAGAAGCCGCAAACACAUUCAAAUAAUGAGCUGAACAUUGGGGGUAAAUUGAAAAAGAAAACUUUGAUCAUAACAUUACUUUUAUAUCUUCUGUGGACAUAAGCAUGCCAUGAAUGUGUGUAUAUAUAUAUAUAUAUUAGAAAAAUAAUGGGUAUAUAUUAGAAAAAUAAUGGGUAUAUGCUCCAUUGUCCACAGUCAAAAUACAGUAAAUGGUUAAUGACAGAUGUUCAUACUUUGGAUAAACACAUUUAUUUGGCUGGUAG
rnacentral:lncRNA from 1 species